rnacentral:rRNA from 1 species
UACGUAGGGCGCGAGCGUUGUCCGGAAUUACUGGGCGUAAAGAGCUCGUAGGUGGUUUGUCGCGUUGUUCGUGAAAACUCACAACUCAAUUGUGGGCGUGCGGGCGAUACGGGCAGACUGGAGUACUGCAGGGGAGACUGGAAUUCCUGGUGUAGCGGUGGAAUGCGCAGAUAUCAGGAGGAACACCGGUGGCGAAGGCGGGUCUCUGGGCAGUAACUGACGCUGAGGAGCGAAAGCGUGGGGAGCGAACAGG